UACGAAGGGGGCUAGCGUUGUUCGGAUUCAUUGGGCGUAAAGGGUGCGUAGGCGGCGCGGUAAGUCGGGUGUGAAAUCUCGGAGCUUAACUCCGAAACUGCAUUCGAUACUGCCGUGCUUGAGGACUGGAGAGGAGACUGGAAUUUACGGUGUAGCGGUGAAAUGCGUAGAUAUCGGGAGGAACACCUAUGGCGAAAGCAGCUGCCUGGGCCUUUACUGACGCUAAGACUCGAAAGCUGGGGGAGCAAACAGGG
rnacentral:rRNA from 1 species